UACGGAGGAUGCGAGCGUUAUCCGGAUUUAUUGGGUUUAAAGGGUGCGUAGGCGGGCUUUUAAGUCAGCGGUAAAAAUUCGGGGCUCAACCCCGUCCGGCCGUUGAAACUGGGGGCCUUGAGUGGGCGAGAAGGAGGCGGAAUGCGUGGUGUAGCGGUGAAAUGCAUAGAUAUCACGCAGAACCCCGAUUGCGAAGGCAGCCUUCCGGCGCCCUACUGACGCUGAGGCACGAAAGUGCGGGGAUCGGACAGG
rnacentral:rRNA from 1 species